CAGAACUCUUGCUGCAGAGUUUCGAGCGCCGCUUCCUGGCGGCGCGCUCACUGCGCUCCUUCCCCUGGCAGGCAGUAAUCGUUCUGGUCACUGCGACACAGCUGCCCUCGCCCAUUCUAAAAAGUCAGCGCCCUCAGGACCGCAGAGCUUAGAAGCAAAGUUAAGAGACUCAUCAGAUUCUGAGCUGCGGCGGGAUAUUUUGCAGAAGACUGUGAAGCAUCCUGUGUGUGUGAAGCACCCGCCGUCAGUCAAGUAUGCCCGGUGCUUUCUCUCAGAACUCAUGAAAAAGUAACCUGAAGAUUUCACCGUAGACGUGCUGUAUUGCCCAGAAGCCAUCGUGUCGCUAGUCGGGGUCCUGCGGAGGCUGGCUGCCUGCCGGGAGCACCAGCGGGCUCCUGAGGUCUACGUGGCCUUUACCGUCCACAACCCACAGACGUGCCAGCUGUUCACCACUGAGCUAGUUGAGUCCCCACGCCCACCCGGGCCUGCAUGGUCCCCGAGCUGUCCCUGCAGGACUCCAGUGGAAGUGAAAGAACUGGGCGCCGGCGUAAAGCUAGCAUGCCCCACACUCCCACACCAUGCGGGGAACUCGGGCAGAGGCCGGCCAGGCCAGGAUCAGAUGGGAAGUGGAAGCUUGUCAUGACCAGAAACUGUUUCCCUACAAAGAGCACUUGGAGAUGGCAAUGCUGAACCUAAUACUGUAGGACUCACACGCGACUUCAACGGGAUUGUGAGGAUCAAGUCACUCUCAUGGGAAGAAUUUUUACAUGGGAAAGCGGAUAAAACUUUCAUUGGACUGGAAUGUUUGGAGAAUAUUAAUUUCCAAAUCAGGAACCACAAACUGCCCUCUAAUAAGACAUCGGCUAUCUAAGCGUGUGGGUGCCCCCUUUCUGCCAGCAGUUCUGGUUCUUAAGAAAAUCACCAUAAAUCAGACAUGAAAAUUCUGGCUCUAAAAAUAGCAUUUUCUUUGUGCAAAUAAAAACGUGUGUAUCAAGUAUGAUGUUCCCCCAACGUGGACACACCCGGUUCCUCACAAAGCCAAGCCCGCUGCAGCUGCCACAUCCCUGGGCUUACUGUGCAGCAGGUGCUUUUUUCAAGACAGGAAUCAAAAUAUUAGGAACACGGCAGAAAGGCGACACCUGGAGACCAAACGCAGGAUGAGGAGUACUGCAGAGGUCACAGGGAAGUCACAGAACAGUAGUACGCUAG
ensembl:lncRNA FAM86EP family with sequence similarity 86, member A pseudogene